rnacentral:rRNA from 1 species
GAUGAACGCUGGCGGCGUGCCUAAUACAUGCAAGUCGAGCGAACAGAUGAGGAGCUUGCUCCUCUGACGUUAGCGGCGGACGGGUGAGUAACACGUGGAUAACCUACCUAUAAGACUGGGAUAACUUCGGGAAACCGGAGCUAAUACCGGAUAAUAUAUUGAACCGCAUGGUUCAAUAGUGAAAGACGGUUUUGCUGUCACUUAUAGAUGGAUCCGCGCCGCAUUAGCUAGUUGGUAAGGUAACGGCUUACCAAGGCAACGAUGCGUAGCCGACCUGAGAGGGUGAUCGGCAAAAUUGGAACGGGAACCCGGCCCAGACUCCAAGGGGGGGCACCGUAAGGGAAUCUUCGGCAAGGGGCAAAGGCUUAACGGGGAAACGCCGGGGGGGUGAUGAAGGUCUCCGGAUCUAAAAACCCUGUUAUUAGGAAGAAACAAAUUUGUAAUUAACUAGGCCCGUCUUAACGUUACCAAAUCAGAAAGCCACGGCUAACUACGUG